rnacentral:rRNA from 1 species
GAUGAACGCUGGCGGCGUGCCUAAUACAUGCAAGUCGAGCGAACAGACGAGAAGCUUGCUUCUCUGACGUUAGCGGCGGACGGGUGAGUAACACGUGGAUAACCUACCUAUAAGACUGGGAUAACUUCGGGAAACCGGAGCUAAUACCGGAUAAUAUUUUGAACCGCAUGGUUCAAUAGUGAAAGACGGUUUUGCUGUCACUUAUAGAUGGAUCCGCGCCGCAUUAGCUAGUUGGUAAGGUAACGGCUUACCAAGGCAACGAUGCAUAGCCGACCUGAGAGGGUGAUCGGCCACACUGGAACUGAGACACGGUCCAGACUCCUACGGGAGGCAGCAGUAGGGAAUCUUCCGCAAUGGGCGAAAGCCUGACGGAGCAACGCCGCGUGAGUGAUGAAGGUCUUCGGAUCGUAAAACUCUGUUAUUAGGGAAGAACAUAUGUGUAAGUAACUGUGCACAUCUUGACGGUACCUAAUCAGAAAGCCACGGCUAACUACGUG